GACGGGAGUCUUUCACUCGAGCGCUUUUGGCUUAUUCGUCCAAGGACGCGUCCACCUCAAUUUCAUAUAGAAGUAGGGGAAAGAGUUGCUGGGAAGAAAUAGGAAGAUGGUAGGAAACAACAGAGAAAAGUGAACAAAGAAAGGACGACUCUAAAUCUAUAUGCUGAAUCGGAAAACAAAACCAAGGAUAUUCCAACCCCUGGAGAAAUGGCUGUACACCACCACCAUCACCACCAUCCCCACUGAGAGGAGUGAAUCUUGAUCCAGGAUGUUUGGCAUAAUUUAGAAGAGAGAAUAGAGUCCAGACAACUCUAACAGACAGCAUGUUUGCUGAUCUCUCUCCCUCACCCCCCC
ensembl:lncRNA